rnacentral:rRNA from 1 species
AUUGAACGCUGGCGGCAUGCUUUACACAUGCAAGUCGAACGGUAACAGGCCGCCAGGUGCUGACGAGUGGCGCACGGGUGAGUAAUGCAUCGGAACGUGCCCAGUCGUGGGGGUUAGCUACUCGAAAGAGUAGCUAAUACCGCAUACGAUCUAUGGAUGAAAGCGGGGGACCGUAAGGCCUCGCGCGAUUGGAGCGGCCGAUGUCAGAUUAGGUAGUUGGUGGGGUAAAGGCUCACCAAGCCAACGAUCUGUAGCUGGUCUGAGAGGACGACCAGCCACACUGGGACUGAGACACGGCCCAGACUACUACGGGAGGCAGCAGUGGGGAAUGGUGGACAAUGGGCGCAAGCCUGAUCCAGCAAUGCCGCGUGCAGGAAGAAGGCCUUCGGGUUGUAAACUGCUUUUGUACGGAACGAAACGGCUCUGGUUAAUACCCGGGGCUAAUGACGGUACCGUAAGAAGAAGCACCGGCUAACUACGUG